AUGGUUAGUUUGACAAUGGAUAAUAUUUUACAACAAUUGAAAUUAGAUUGUCGAUUAAACACAAUUACUCGUAAGACAAGCUUUGUAUUGCUCCAAGGAGCCAUCAUACUUAUGAUCGAAAAUCUAAAAACUUUGAAUAACAUUAGUACCUCAGAUUCCGUGAAAAAUUAUUUGACAUAUAUAACAAUGAUUAAAUCAGUAAUUCUUGCUCAGUCUCUUGAGCAACCCUUGAUAUGCACAAAUCAUCCAGUAUUAUGA